UACGUAGGGUGCGAGCGUUAAUCGGAAUUACUGGGUGUAAAGCGUGCGCAGGCGGUUCGUUGUGUCUGCUGUGAAAUCCCCGGGCUCAACCUGGGAAUGGCAGUGGAAACUGGCGAGCUUGAGUGUGGCAGAGGGGGGUGGAAUUCCGCGUGUAGCAGUGAAAUGCGUAGAGAUGCGGAGGAACACCGAUGGCGAAGGCAACCCCCUGGGCUGACACUGACGCUCAGGCACGAAAGCGUGGGGAGCAAACAGG
rnacentral:rRNA from 1 species